GUGGGUGGCGGUCCGGGCAUCCUCGGAGCCCCUCGGCCUGGGCCCCGGUGCCUCGCCGCGGACAGGAGCGCGGGGACGGCGCGGGCCGCCAUCCCCUGGUGGCUCCGGGUGCAGGAGAGGGACGCGGGCGCGGACGACUGGAUAGCGGCGAGGGGCGCGCGGGGCCGCGGAGAGGGCCUCCGGUCGGGACGCUGACGGCACUCACCCGGGGUGCCGCGGAGAAACGCCGUGCAUUGCGGCGGCAUCGGUGCCCCGGCCGCAUUAGAAUUUAAAUCUGUUGUUUGGGGCACCAUGACGCUGAGGCUCUUAGAAGACUGGUGCAGGGGGAUGGAUGUGAGCCCUCGGAAAGCGCUGUUGGUUGCCGGCAUCCCCCCGACCUGCACUGUGGCAGGAACCGAGGAGGCUCUGCGGGCUGGUUUGGCGCCGAUGGGCGGGUACAGACUGCUCGGGAGGAUGUGCCGGCGGGAUGAGAACAGGAAUGUAGCCUUAGUAGGGCUGACGGAGGAGACGACUCGUGCUCUAGUCCCUAAGGAGAUACCCGGAAAAGGGGGGUGUCUGGAGAGUGAUCUUUAAGCCCCCAGACCUAAAUAAUGAAUUUUUAAGCAGAUUAAAUGAAUUCUUAGAGGGAGAGGGCACAACGUUGGGGGAGUUGACCAGAGCUCUUGGAUACGGAAACGACCCUUUUGACCUAGGACAGGACACGAUCCCAGAAAUACAGGCCCCUGUGUUGGCACAGGCAUUAGAGGAGGCUCUUCGGCCCACCCUGCGGUACCUGAGAUACAGAAAACUGAGAGUGUUCUCAGGCAGUGACCCCCCAGAACCAGGAGAAGAAGAAUUUGAAUCCCGGCUGUUUCAUACUACUCAGAUGAUGAAGACAUGGCAGGUGCCAGAUGCGGAGAAAAGAAGACGCUUGCUAGAGAGCCUUAGAGGCCCAGCAUUUGAUGUUAUUCGUGUCCUCAAGAUAAACAAUCCCUUCAUUACAGUCGCUGAAUGCCUGCAGGCUCUUGAGCAGGUAUUUGGGGUUAUUGAUAAUCCUAGGGAAUUGCAGGUCAAGUAUCUGACCACUUAUCAGAAGGAUGGAGAGAAAUUGCUUACGUGCUGAGGUUGGAGCCUUUAUUACAGAAACUGGUAGAGAGAGGAGCAGUUGAGAAAGAUGUUGUGAAUCAGGCCCGCCUAGACCAAAUCUUGGCUGGAGCAGUCCACAGAACCCUUCGCAGGAAGCUUGCUCUGCCACAGGAUGGCCCAGCCCCUGGCUUAUUGCAGCUACUGGCGCUGAUAAAGGACGAAGAGGCAGCGGAGGAGGAGGAGGAGGCCCUUCUCCAGGCAGGAUUAGAAGGGCAUUUCUCCUGAAUCUUAGGCAACCAGGAAGCAGAGCAUGACGGUAGAAGAACAGUCAGUGUACUCGUGAUAGACAUUAAUCAGUCCCUUCCUUGUGCUGCCGAGGAGCUCAUUCUGUUCAGUUUUCUGUCUAAAUCCUUCAUCAUUUCUGUGCUAUUUAAUGUCUUCCAAAUGUGUCCUAGACUAGGAAGGAUGUAGUUCUUCUGCACUAGUAUUUAUGUAUUUAGAUUUACUACUGUGAAUUUAUCAUACAAAAUUGUACAGAGGGUCUAUCGCUACAUACCUAGGGUGCUCUGAGAAAUGUCAGCUUAUGUGAUAACAGGUGCAAGGGUAGCACGUCGGAUGUGAUGAUGUGUCAUAGAUAGUUUUUAGGUGUGUAUUGCCCUACAUUUAUUAUGAAGAUAGGAGCAGUGGUUAAGAUACUAAGUUAUUUUCUGUCUGAAUCACAAUUUUACUGAUUCUGCGCAGUCAAAAUGAGGCAGGAUCAAAUGCUGAGGUUGGUAAGUUUGCAGCUAUCACCUCUAACCCUGGGUUUCUGAUAUGUGCCAUCAGAACACAUUUUAAUAGGUGUUAUAAAAUGAUCUAUGUGAACUUAUAAAAUAAAGGAAUGCUAAUACAAUGA